UACGUAGGUGACAAGCGUUGUCCGGAUUUACUGGGCGUAAAGAGCGCGCAGGCGGUCGAUCAAGUCGAGUGUGAAAGCCCCCGGCUCAACUGGGGAGGGUCAUUCGAUACUGAUCGACUCGAAGGCAGGAGAGGGAAGUGGAAUUCCCGGUGUAGUGGUGAAAUGCGUAGAUAUCGGGAGGAACACCAGUGGCGAAGGCGGCCACCUGGACUGCACCUGACGCUGAAACGCGAAAGCUAGGGGAGCGAACGGG
rnacentral:rRNA from 1 species